rnacentral:piRNA from 1 species
UGGUACUGCUCUUGUAGAGAACCUGAAU